rnacentral:rRNA from 1 species
AUCUGGGCGGCGGAAUUCACGAUGGUCGGCGGGUUUCGCACUCGUCCGGCCGUUUGAUAUUUCCGUCGCCGUGUCAGACGUCGCGACCUGUUCGUCGUCGGUCCCUGCUCGGAGGAAUCGCGAUCGAGUUCGUUGCGGGUGCGCUUCGGUGUGUCCCGCGGUGAAGGCGCGGCUCUCUGGCUGACGACGGACAGUAAGCAACGGUGGCCGGCGUUGUGUCUCGCACUCGACGUCGGUGCCGGUCAGCGACGAUUUCUUCGGGCCUCUUUCCGACCCGUCUUGAAACACGGACCAAGGAGUCUAACAUGCGCGCGAGUCGCGGGGUUUCGAGCGUGCCACGGUGCGCUCGUUACUUCCGAAACCCGUACGUUGAAGGCGUAAUGAAAGUGAACAGGGAAGAUGGCGUUCCGAGUCCACGUACCGUGAUCGAGUAUCGCGGCCGGACGUCCGCACUCCCGGGGCGUCUCAAUGGCUCGACGCGGAUGCGGACGGUCGUCUCUCGGGGCGGUCGUCGGUCUGCGCCGGUCCGA